UAGGGGUCUAAUUGGAGCUGUUGCUGCCGGCCUACACCAUAACCACAGCAACGUGGGAUCUGAGCCGCGUCUGCAACCUAUACCACAGCUCACGGCCACAGCAGAUCCUCAACCCACUGAGCAGGGCCAGGGAUCGAACUCGCAACCACAUGUUUCCUAGUCGGAUUCAUUAACCACUGCGCCAUGAUGGGAACUCCAACAUUACAAUUUAGAGUUGGGCAAUUUGCUAAAUACCAUACAAUGAGGAAAUGGUAGAACAGGGAUUUGAAACCAGGUUGGGGUGGUGGGGUGACUUUAGAGCACCUCCUUGUGGUUCCUUACACUCUGUUGAAAAGAGCAAGGUAUUCAAGGCAUGUAUGAACAUAAGAAACACCACAAAAUGUUUGGGAAAUUUCCAAUAAUUCAAUGUGAGGCAAGAUAUUUCAGCAAAAGGAGACUAUGUUUUCUCUUUAGAAGACAAGAAUUUGUGACAAGAUCUCUCCUCCAUGUUAUUACAUUUUUGGUUUAUGUAAAUAAAACUCAAGUGUACUAAAGCAAUUCAGAGAGUUGUUGAAGCAAAGAUGAGAUGAUCCCAUCAGAUAUUAUCCGCUUAAAGGACUAGAAAAUUGAAGAAAAACAGAAUCUAGGCAACUUUAAAAAAAACUCUGGUUUAUCAAAAUGUUUUCAAUUCUUAAAAGUUCAAUAUGGAUAAUGAAUCAUUCAAUUUUGCUACUGUUUCCCCUCCUAAACAGUCAGUAUGCAUUUACUCUGGUACCUAUUUCUAAUCAAGGAUGUAAAGCAAAUUAUUCUAAACUAAGACUCGUUUUCUCAACAGGUAUUCUCUUCCCAAUUCCAUUAAACUCGGAAGUGCUUAGACAUUUUCCAGAAAUGAACACUGAAAAACCUUCUUAUGACAGUCUGCCCCUAUCAUAUCUUCACUGAGAGUUAAAUGAAACUUAGUCUCAGUUAUUGCCCCAUUCAAAUAAUUCAAUUGCCUCUUACUUAGAAUAGUCACUGAUGUUAACAACCCUUGGUUGACUUCAGAUUCAGCAUUUUUCUUCCACUGUAAGUAGAGCAAUUCCAUUUCAUUCACUUAUAUAUUACUUCUAGUCCCUGUAACCAAGGUUUAGUCACCCCAUGAUUUGUCUACAUAUAUCAUAAAGAACAUUUCUUUUUGUAAACCAUACCAUCUAGACUCGCAUAUAAGGCAGAAGUGUACUUAUAUAGAACCUAUUAUAGACAGAAAGAGCAGAAAGAGACUUGAUCUAUGAGGUCUCUGAAAAAUAUCACCUAUUUAUAGAGGACAGAUGAUAGUUGGGACAGAGGCUCUGUGCAAUUCUGAUUCAUCAUCAUAUGAUCAUUGCCGAGGUAAUAUCUUUCCAAGCUUUUGGCUUCCAAUUUCUUUCUCUACCUUGCUCUAAAACUUUAAAGAUCACAUGUUAUAGCCUUAAGACAUUCUCAUGUAUAUAGUUAUCAAAUCCAGCAACACAAAGGAUGUCCUUAUUGACUGUGUUCUUACUGGGUUACUUUAUUCUUGCUCACUGGAAGUCCUUAUGAAGAAGUCAUAGUGUGUCAGGACUACAAACUGAAGGAUUCUGCAGAGCUGCUAUUUAUUUCCAGUCACUUGUCUAUUUGAAAAGGAAACUUUAAAGCUGUGAUUUUUGCCUGGGCUCUACUUAGUUUAUGACAGUCCUCAAAUCACUUCAAAGAGGAAAGAGAGUUAACUGGUGAUAUGGUGACUGCUGAAGACAAAAAACUAUGAAAUGCUGACCCCAAUUAUAUCCAUAAAUUUCGAGGUAUUUUUCUUUAAAAAUGAGGUCUAAACUCCAUACAGAAAAUCUUUUGAGUUUGACUGAAGCCUGAUGUUCACUGCCUAGAAGGCUGAUGUACAAAGUCACAUUUGGCAAUGGAGAGAAAAUUGCAAGCAUACUGGUCCCUUGCAGCUCCUGGACCAAGGAAGCUGUGCCUGCAAUGUUGCAGGACUCCUACAUUGUACUAUAAAAGCCCUCAACAACCUAAAAAGCAUCUUCUAGAGGCAGAAUAUUUUACUGGUUAAAAGCAGAAAUGUAAUAGUCUUCAAUCCAAAUUCUGACUCUAGUUCUUAAAAGUUUGUGCUCUUAGACAAGAUAUUUAGCAUUUAACUUUUUAUAAGAGUGGAGAUGAUAAAAGUGACUAUGCCGUAGGUUUACUGUCAGGAUUAAAUGAGAAUAUCACACACAAGUUUGACAUACAGUUUUAUGUAUUAAAAUGUUAUUUAUUUUAUUUAGCUAUUUUAGUUUGGUUUUUAGUUUAUUAUUCACAAGUGAUUAGAAGGACAUAAUUCAGGAAAUAAUGUUCUGUCUUUUCUUCCUUUGGCAUCUAGAGGGGCACACAACACACCCCCCCCAAACACACGCACACAUAUAUCUAAAGAUUGAAUUUGCUUACCUCAACAAAAUUUGGAGGGAAAAAAAAAAUUGGUCAGGUGGCCUUGGUUAUGAACAUAAUCAAGCAAAACUGGAAAAGGGAAAUAUCACUAUUUGAGAAGUUUGGUUUUGUUCGCAAGUCAUCAAACCAACAUUCAGCUCCCAUCCUGUUAGGUUAAAACUUUUCUAGCAGUACUGUCUGCUCUUGUUUUAUUGAUGAAGGUUACAGGAUAAUAGUUUGGAAAUGGCAACUCUCCCAAGGGGUCAGAUAUACUGGAAAUGCAAAAUGCUGGUAAUCCUGUCAGAAUAACUAAUUCGUUAAUACUUGCUGGAAGGUUUCCAAAUUAAUUUGGAAAGUCAGUAGUUACCACACAGACUUGAAUAAAUGCCCUAAUCCUUUUCAGCUUUUUAUUCUUUAAGUCACUAAAUUUUCCUCAAGUUUAGCACUUUCCUCUGUUAGUUCUCAGUAAGAGCAGCUACUUUCAUCCAGAUCAUUUCCAGCCACCCAAUAUCACUGCAAGGGAAUGACAAAAGCUGCAACUUGGAAGACUGGGUAGGAUUUUUAUGGCAGAGAGAAAGAGACAAAGUGAGAAAUCGCACUCUGGUUAGUGUUAAUAUGAUCAGAAAACAGAGACAAGUAGGGAAUCCCUGUUCAGAAAAAUGAUGAAAUAACAUUUAGGUUAAAAUUAUGUUGAAUUUCCUGUUUUUAAUUCUACAUCAUCAUCACUGAUCUCAGAGGUUUGGGGUUAGGUGUCAAUAAAGGCAUGAAUAUGACAUUUGGAAGGUAGAAGACAUGGAGAGUCUAUCAAUUUUGGGAACAUGGGCAAAUGUUAAGAUUCACAGGUAGCUUCAGGGCAAACGCUUGAUAACUACCCUCUUAGGCUUUGUGAAUGUCCUAGGUGAACUUGACAGUCACAAUGGCCUCUAUAAACUCUUGACAACUCCUACUCUGGUGUUCAGGCUGACAUUGGUGGAGGAGGAGUCUUAGGGUUUCCUCAGAAACUGAUCCUGAGUCAAAGAUUCAAAUGCAAAUAGUUAGUAGAGUAGUAAUCCCAGCAAAAACCAAUACAGACAUUUAGAAAACAGGGAAAGAGACCAGCUCAGCAGGUGAGGGCUGAAGAACGGGUGCUGUGAAACUUAAGAAAAACUUAACAUAAAACAAGACACAGAGACACUUAUCUUAAUUAAAGGUGGGAACCAGGAGACUCAAGGUCUCAGGGACUAAGAGCACCACUGCUUUUAUUGUGCUCUGUAGGAUUACAUCAAGUGAGGAGGGCGCUACAGGUGCAGGAUAUAGUUUUUUUUUAAUUUAUUUUAAAAGUCACAUAGCUGGUAGAUGGUUAAGCUUUAAUUCUGACCUUUAGGCAUUUAACAAUCAUUAGCAUUUGAGGAAGCUUGGCAUUAGCUGUCUAUGCAUAGCAUCUAGAGAUCAUCAUUGUGCUUCCGCAAAGGGCUUGCCUCUCUGCAGCAACCCAGUGUGCCUAGGUUUGCACCUCGUUCUCCUUACUGAUGCAUAUUCUGCUAACGACCACUCAUAAACCCCUGGGGCCAUGAGGUUCCUUUCUCUUAUUUUAAUAGGACAUAUCAUGCUGUGCAAAUGGCAUGCCCAUCUGCACAGGUCCAGCAUGCCUAGACCAAUGACUUAUGUCCUCAUUCAGCUGACCACAUGAAUAAUUUAUGCCUUUUGGUCUUUGUUCUUAAGUUAUUUACCAGCACUGCGACUGUUUUUCAAGCAGGAAUAUAGGGUAAAGGUAAAGCAGGACAGACGGAGUUUUCAGCAUAGAAAAUAGAAGCAAAGAGGCUAAGAAAAUAUCGUGGAAACAUGUCUCCGACAGCAAAGCGGCAACGAAUCCAACUAGGAACCAUGAGGUUGCAGGUUUGAUCCCUCACUUCGCUCAGUGGGUUAAGGAUCAGGUGUUAUCAUGAGCUAUGGUGUAGGUCGCAGAAAUGGCUCAGAUCUGGCAUUGCCAUGGCUCUGGUGUAGGCCAGUGGCUACAGCUCCAAUUAGACCCCUAGCCUGGGAACCUCCAUGUGCAGCAGGUGAGGCCCUCAAAAGACAAAAAAAAAAAAAAAAGGGGGGGGGGGGAGAAAACAGGGAAAGGAGAGGAAAAAUACAAAGUGCACUAAACCUAUGCUAUCCCUAUGGGUUAAUUCUGUCGAAAACUCCAGAGUCCACGUGCAAGUUGCAUCUCAAAGUUAACUUGCCUAAGGAAUAAAGGAACUGAAAUAUUUGUAUACCAACUUCUGCUUGCCAUCUGUUGAAAGCGGCUUCUGAAAAAUAUCAUUUUUCUGUUUUUGUUUUGUCAUAUUUGGCCUACUCUGAGCUGGGGAAGAGUGGAUACGCUAUAACAGAAAGCUCUUGGGUAGUCUGGAGUCAGCUAUUGUUUUACUGUCACGGAAAAGCCAGAGAGGAUAUGGCUUUACUCUACUACCUGACAACAUUCUGCUUAUCUUCAACACCUACCUCAAAUAAUCUUUGUGAAAUCUUCCCUAAUGUUCUCUGUUUGGCACCAAUUAUGCCUGUAACUUUACUUCCUUAGCACUUCCCUUAAAAAUUGUUUUAACAGGAGUUCCCUUCAUGGCUCAUCAGUUAACAAACCCAGCUAGGAUCCAUGAGGAUGUGGGUUCAAUCCCUGGCCUCUCUCAGUGGGUAAAGGAUCUGGCAUUGCCAUGAACUGUGGUGUAGGUCAUAGACACAGCUUGGAUCCCGAGUUGCUGUGGCUGUACCUUAGCCAGCGGCCGUAGCUCCGAUUUGACCCCUAGCCUGGGGACUUCCAUACACUACAGGUGUGGCCC
rnacentral:lncRNA from 1 species